rnacentral:rRNA from 1 species
AUUGAACGCUGGCGGCAGGCCUAACACAUGCAAGUCGAGCGGAUGAAGGGAGCUUGCUCCUGGAUUCAGCGGCGGACGGGUGAGUAAUGCCUAGGAAUCUGCCUGGUAGUGGGGGAUAACGUCCGGAAACGGGCGCUAAUACCGCAUACGUCCUGAGGGAGAAAGUGGGGGAUCUUCGGACCUCACGCUAUUAGCUGAGCCUAGGUCGGAUUAGCUAGUUGGUGGGGUAAAGGCCUACCAAGGCGACGAUCCGUAACUGGUCUGAGAGGAUGAUCAGUCACACUGGAACUGAGACACGGUCCAGACUCCUACGGGAGGCAGCAGUGGGGAAUAUUGGACAAUGGGCGAAAGCCUGAUCCAGCCAUGCCGCGUGUGUGAAGAAGGUCUUCGGAUUGUAAAGCACUUUAAGUUGGGAGGAAGGGCAGUAAGUUAAUACCUUGCUGUUUUGACGUUACCAACAGAAUAAGCACCGGCUAACUUCGUG